rnacentral:rRNA from 1 species
GUUGUAUAGUCAAGUAAUUAAGUGCAUGUGGUGGAUGCCUUGGCAGUCAGAGGCGAUGAAAGACGUGAUAGCCUGCGAAAAGCUCCGGGGAGGCGGCAAAUAUCCUUUGAUCCGGAGAUGUCUGAAUGGGGGAACCCACCUACUUUAAGGUAGGUAUUGCAACAUGAAUACAUAGUGUUGCAAGGCGAACGAGGGGAAGUGAAACAUCUCAGUACCCUUAGGAAAAGAAAUCAAUUGAGAUUCCCUCAGUAGCGGCGAGCGAACGGGGAUCAGCCCAUUAAGUUAUGUGUGUUUUAGUGGAACGCUCUGGGAAGUGCGAACGUAGAGGGUGAUAUUCCCGUACACGAAAGGGCACACAUAAUGAUGACGAGUAGGGCGAGGCACGUGAAACCUUGUCUGAAUAUGGGGGGACCAUCCUCCAAGGCUAAAUACUCCUGACUGACCGAUAGUGAACCAGUACCGUGAGGGAAAGGCGAAAAGAACCCCUGUGAGGGGAGUGAAAUAGAUCCUGAAACCGCAUGCAUACAAGCAGUGGGAGCACCUUCGUGGUGUGACUGCGUACCUUUUGUAUAAUGGGUCAGCGACUUAUAUUCAGUAGCAAGGUUAACCGUAUAGGGGAGCCGUAGAGAAAUCGAGUCUUAAUAGGGCGUUUAGUUGCUGGGUAUAGACCCGAAACCAGGCGAUCUAUCCAUGAGCAGGUUGAAGGUUGGGUAACACUAACUGGAGGACCGAACCCACUGUCGUUGAAAAGCCAGGGGAUGACUUGUGGAUAGGGGUGAAAGGCUAAUCAAGCCUGGUGAUAGCUGGUUCUCCCCGAAAGCUAUUUAGGUAGCGCCUCGGACGAAUACCAUAGGGGGUAGAGCACUGUUUCGGCUAGGGGGUCAUCCCGACUUACCAAACCGAUGCAAACUCCGAAUACCUAUGAGUACUAUCCGGGAGACAGACUGCGGGUGCUAACGUCCGUAGUCAAGAGGAAAACAAUCCAGACCGCCAGCUAAGGCCCCAAAAUCAUAGUUAAGUGGGAAACGAUGUGGGAAGGCAUAGACAGCUAGGAGGUUGGCUUAGAAGCAGCCACCCUUUAAAGAAAGCGUAAUAGCUCACUAGUCGAGUCGGCCUGCGCGGAAGAUGUAACGGGGCUAAAACUAUGUGCCGAAGCUGCGGAUNNNNNNNNNNNNNNNNNNNNNNNNNNUUGACAUUAGUCAAGUGGUAGGGGAGCGUUCUGUAAGCCGAUGAAGGUGUAUUGAGAAGUAUGCUGGAGGUAUCAGAAGUGCGAAUGCUGACGUGAGUAACGACAAAACGGGUGAAAAACCCGUUCGCCGAAAGACCAAGGGUUCCAGUCCAACGUUAA